UUCGGUUCUCAGCCUUUUGGCUAAGAUCAAGUGUGGUAUCUGUUUAAUUCAGUUCAAUUUAAUAUCUGAUACGUCCCCUAUCCGGGGACCAUAUAUUAAAUAGAUUUUUGGAACAGGGAGAUAGAAUAGGGGCUUGGUCCAUCCACUCCACACAUCCACCUGGUAUUGCAGUACCUCCAGGAACCUCUCC